rnacentral:rRNA from 1 species
GAUGAACGCUGGCGGCGUGCCUAAUACAUGCAAGUCGAGCGAAUGGAUUGAGAGCUUGCUCUUAUGAAGUUAGCGGCGGACGGGUGAGUAACACGUGGGUAACCUGCCCAUAAGACUGGGAUAACUCCGGGAAACCGGGGCUAAUACCGGAUAACAUUUUGAACCGCAUGGUUCGAAAUUGAAAGGCGGCUUCGGCUGUCACUUAUGGAUGGACCCGCGUCGCAUUAGCUAGUUGGUGAGGUAACGGCUCACCAAGGCAACGAUGCGUAGCCGACCUGGGAGGGUGAUCGGCCACACUGGGACUGAGACACGGCCCAGACUCCUACGGGAGGCAGCAGUAGGGAAUCUUCCGCAAUGGACGAAAGUCUGACGGAGCAACGCCGCGUGAGUGAUGAAGGCUUUCGGGUCGUAAAACUCUGUUGUUAGGGAAGAACAAGUGCUAGUUGAAUAAGCUGGCACCUUGACGGUACCCAAAGAAUAAGCACCGGCUAACUUCGUGCCAGCCGCCGCAGUAA